CGUACCGGCGCCCGUGACCUCGUGGGCCCGCAGCGUGCCGCCCUCCCCAUUCCCCCUCUUCCCGGCGCCUGGCCGCCAUGGCCGCCGCCGCGCGGCCCCUAGCUGACGCCGGAAGCACUCGUGGCCGGAAGGAUACGGAGAAGGAAUACCUGGGUCCGUGAGCGUGUGGGGACAGAGGCAGCACAGUGGCAUCAGGGAGUCGGGCAUUCGUGACGGCUACGGCUGAAGAAUAUGCGCACGCGCAAUCCAGGAAAUCGACGGGCCAUUCAUGGAAGAGCUAAUGGAGAAGUUCAAAUCUAAGCUGUUUGAGAUGCAGCUGCAACCUCUCAUGGUCGGCACCGGCCUAGAUGAAGACACAAGCGGCGCGGGAGAAGCUGGACGACCACCGGUCCACCACCUCGGCUCGGAGCCGAACACCAGCCCGGACCUAGAAGGGAAGACAUCAAGGCGAGAAGAGGAUCAAAGAGGGAUGGCCUUCAGGCUAAGGCCAUAACAGAAGAAAACUCAUAUGGAGGCCAAGAAGAAAGGAACAUUGCACGAAAUGAAUUUUGGUUGACUGUUUGGACAAUCUUAAAAAACAUCAAGUGAAUGUGCGACUAGUUAGCUUUCCAGAAUAUAUCAUCUGAUGAGGGUGCAUAGCUUCUUUGACUGAAUUUAAGAGAUCGUCGCAUGUUUAAGCUUCCUUCAGCAAAAAGGGAUUACCUCCUGCCAGAUGGUGAAAAGCAUGAUUAUGAUUGGCUCAAGACUCCUCCAGCGACACCACUUAUUUCCCUCCCUUGAGAUGGAAGCCAACUCCUCUCAGAUGAUUUUGCAGAAGGAGCUGCCUUCAGCCGGUCAGAACUUCCAAGGGUAUGAUGAAUAUUGCACUUGUACCUCUCCCUUUACAUGUAAAUGACGUAGUUCAACUGCCACCAAGCUGAACUACUCAAUCAGGAAUCCAAAACAUUUCCACUAAUCAAUCAUCUCAUCUUUUGAGAAGCUGAUGUACUAACAUGUUCACAAGUGUGAGCAGCGGUGUACAAGGCGACAGGAACAUACCAGCCAGACUACCAGUUAUCCUUAUCACUCAUCAGGGAGGGGGGCUCCACGUGUCUCUGCUAUGUUGCGGUUCCUGUGAACUUGGCAUGUGAAGAGCAGCAGCUGCCCUGGCUCCGCUGUUACUGCUGUAAAUACAGGCACGCGCAUUUGCAGGAAAUGUCUCGGCACCUAACCUGCCCAAGCUUUUGGUCCGGCACCCAUGGCCACAGUUUGAGGGAUUACUUUAUAUACAAUGGAGAUCAUCGGACUGAAAAACGAUGCAAGUGGUUCUGGUGCCGCAUUAUCAUUUGACUGAAGUUAAGCCAAAUUGGGCAUUUGGUAAUAGCAGCUUAAGCUGAAAGCAGGCAGCACAUGCAGCAACAGCCGGUGCCUGCAAAAAGCAACCGCAGAGAAGAUCCAGCCGAGGAUUUCGCUCACUCGGGACACAUCCAUGCUGACGACUUCGUUCAUCAACCUGGUCAAAGGUAGACAGGUUCUUGUUCCCCUUAACACAAUUCUGGCUUAGGUCUUCGAUCUUCUUCUUCUUCUUCUUCUCUCACCUGCAUGAAUCUUCUUUCUCCUGGAAGCUAAUGAUAUGUUAAUUGAGAAACCAGACGCACAAAGUCAGCUGCUGAUGAAUAUUUUGUGCAGCAGUCAGUCUGGAAAUCGAGCUUGCAAAGGAAGAGGAGUCGUUGUCAGUUGUCACACACACACUGCACAACGUGCCGGUUGUUUCGAAGAAGCAUCUUUUUCCACAAGAAAUAUCCUUGUCGACGCCCAUGGCUAGAGCUACAGACUCGAGAGCAAUCUUUUUUGUUUCUCAAACUAACCAACUUUCUGCUACUGCCAUAAGCUACAGACGCGAAAGUAGUGAGAUAUUGGCCCGAAUCGUGCAGUAUGCUUUACUCUAUCUAUGAGUGCCGGCAGAAAACUUUGAUCGCUCAGAUUACACAUCCACGCUGACGACUUUGUUCGUUAACUUGGUCAAAGCUAGAACAUCGACCACUGUUUUUAUUUUCUCUUCGCAGUUCUGACUUUGACUUGUGACUUUGUGUUUUCUCGUGUCAGGUCAGUGAUUCAUGCUGCUCCCUCUGGGAAGCACUUGAUAUGUUAAAGUUCAGGUGCAUCGCAGCGGAUUGGGUACGGGUAAUCUCUAAUUCUCUAAUCCCUAUGACUUUACGCCGUUGCUGUUUUGCAGUCGCACUAAACGACUUUGUUGCUGCUGCUUGUUUGGAAGCGUCGAUCUUUUCCAAGGAGAAAUAUCUUUGCCUGUAUCAUACUUGGACUUCGAGUGAGACGUCAAUGACAGGCGAAAAGAGAGAAAAACAAGUCGUUAAUCUGACUAACUGCAAUGAGUACCAAGUGUUCCUGCGUCAAGACUGUACUUAGGCUAAUCACAAUGGGGGUUUCAUGUCCAUAUUUCCAAGAAUGCCACGUCAACUUUGUAGAAGGAUGAAACACCCUCUCUCAAUAGAGAGUUUCAUCUCACUAUUUCAUAUGCCAACAUACUACU